rnacentral:rRNA from 1 species
GACGAACGCUGGCGGCGUGCUUAACACAUGCAAGUCGAACGGAAAGGCCCCUUUGUGGGUACUCGAGUGGCGAACGGGUGAGUAACACGUGAGUAACCUGCCCUUGACUUCGGGAUAACUUCAGUAAACUGGGGCUAAUACCGGAUAGGAAUCCUUGCUGCAUGGUGGGGGUUGGAAAGCUUCGGCGGUUUUGGAUGGACUCGCGGCUUAUCAGCUUGUUGGUGGGGUAGUGGCUUACCAAGGCUUUGACGGGUAGCCGGCCUGAGAGGGCGACCGGCCACAUUGGGACUGAGAUAAGGCCCAGACUCCUACGGGAGGCAGCAGUGGGGAAUAUUGCACAAUGGGCGGAAGCCUGAUGCAGCAACGCCGCGUGCGGGAUGACGGCCUUCGGGUUGUAAACCGCUUUCAGCAGGGGCGAAGCUUGUGGUGACGGUACCUGGAGAAGAAGCACCGGCUAACUACGUG